UCAUCACCGCCUUCUUUUUCUCAACAAAAUUAUGACAAUCAUUCUUUAAAUUCACUCAUUUAUUAUUUUGCAAAUUUAUUACAAUAAAUUCAUAUUUCUUGAAGGGCGACAAUAACCAACCCAUCAAGCAUGAGGGAAAGUGAAGCUCAGAAGCUCAAUUUCAUGCUCAUUUUCUCACUUGUACUGAUUUUCUGGUUUAGCUAUUUGUUGAUUCUGUGUGUUGGAUUGAUGGGUUUCUUUGUUUAUGUAACAUGGGUUUGAGAAUGUGAUUUAUGUAGGAGAAUGUGUUUGAGCUGUUAAUGGUAGUUGAUUGGAUGCUUUAAGAUUUAAGGGGUUUGCUUAGAUUUGUUUGUUGUUGAAGCUUAUUUGAUUUUAGGGUUUUGAGUGCAUUUUUGACUUUUUUAUAGUCAAACCUAGUGAGUGUCAACUACAGAGGUUAAGAAUGAAAAUUGUUACAAAUGUAACAUAUCGAAAUGUUACAGAAUCCCAGUUAUGUAUGUCAGUUAUUGAACCUAUUCACAUGGUUUAUUAGUUAUCAUGUGUUUGGUUGCUUGACAUGUGGUUUUCAUGUGUUUGGUCAUCAGAUAUUCUGCAUUUAAUGAAUUCACAUCUGUGUUUGUGAUA